rnacentral:rRNA from 1 species
AAUGAACGCUGGCGGCGCGCCUAAUACAUGCAAGUCGAGCGAGAAGACGUAGCAAUACGUUUGUAAAGCGGCGAACGGGUGAGGAAUACAUGGGUAACCUACCCUAGAGUGGGGAAUAACUAGCCGAAAGGUUAGCUAAUACCGCGUACGCUCCUUGGACUUCGGUUCAGGGAGGAAAGCGAUGCCGAGGGUAUCGCGCUCUUGGAUGGGCUCAUGUCCUAUCAGCUUGNGGUGAGGUAACGGCUCACCAAGGCUUCGACGGGUAGCUGGUCUGAGAGGACGAUCAGCCACACUGGCACUGCGACACGGGCCAGACUCCUACGGGAGGCAGCAGUAAGGAAUAUUGCGCAAUGGGCGAAAGCCUGACGCAGCGACGCCGCGGUGGGGGAU